GGAAUAUUGGUCAAUGGAGGGAACUCUGAACCAGCCAUGCCGCGUGCAGGAUGACUGCCCUAUGGGUUGUAAACUGCUUUUGUCAGGGAAUAAACCUUUCCACGUGUGGGAAGCUGAAUGUACCUGAAGAAUAAGGAUCGGCUAACUCCGUGCCAGCAGCCGCGGUAAUACGGAGGAUCCAAGCGUUAUCCGGAUUUAUUGGGUUUAAAGGGUGCGUAGGCGGUCCUAUAAGUCAGUGGUGAAAGACGGCAGCUUAACUGUCGCAGUGCCUUUGAUACUGUAGGACUUGAAUCUAUUUGAAGUGGGCGGAAUAAGACAAGUAGCGGUGAAAUGCAUAGAUAUGUCUUAGAACUCCGAUUGCGAAGGCAGCUCACUAAGUUAGUAUUGACGCUGAUGCACGAAAGCGUGGGGAUCAAACAGGAUUAGAUACCCGAG
rnacentral:rRNA from 1 species